CAAAUAUUAAAAUAACAACAAGCUUGUAAGUAGCAAACAUUGAAAUGAACUAAAUUGUUGGGAGUUUUCUGUGUGAAGAAGAUUUUGAGACUGGAUAACCUUAGAGAUGAUAGCCUUCAUACUCUGAAGGCUGUAUGAGCACCUCAGUUUACAACCCAGCUUUUGACUGGUUGUGAUAAUAAUAUAUUGAUUUCUAAAUAAAUAAGAUGACUUUCACGGAGAAAGUCUCAGUGGUUUCCUGACACAACAGAGCUAUCAGUUAUAACCUCCCAGCGAUAGCUUGCCAGAGCAGCGUGAGCGUAUGAGAAGAGCAGACUGUAGCUUUAUUGGUCCUGAGCAAACUGUGGUCAAACAGAACAGCUUCGCCCUCCUUUUCAAAAGGAUUGUGCCGCUUUAAGAAGCAGCGAGUGGGAGGUGUGCAAACAAGUACCUGGGCGCACUGCUGUGCUCACCUCUGAGCCUCAUAUAGCUGAAGGGACGGCAGCCUCACGCUCCGUGUUCUGCCUUGCAGGCUCAGCACCACCUUCUCCAGCACACACUGCAGCAGCUGGAUGGAGGAUGGGCUCUCAGACAGAACUACUCAAGAUUAUCUGUGAGACUUACAACAUAGCUCAAGGAGACUAAGCUUUUACUUCAGUCUUGACUCCCUGAAGCUGCUCUAUACCACAGCAGAUCUUCCCAUCACUUCUCAGUUGCCUCUGCGAUACCAUCCUCAGGACUAUUUUCUGUCUGCAGAGCAUUUCUGUAGUUCAGAAGUGCCAAGGCUCACCGAAACACAGCUGGUGCCUCCAACUUCGUACUCUUGGCAUGGAGGAAAAGGUGGUGGAAACAAUCCUGGCACCAUGGCAAAUAAUGCUGGUCAUUUGUGCUGCAGUGCUGAUCAUGAGCUUCCUUAUGGUCCUGCCCCCUGCAGUAGUGGUGAUCUGGAGGAUGAAGCGUGUGCCUCAGAUCUCACUGCAUGGCUCGGUGUGAGCCAGCCACGCAUUCUUUCGAAGGCUGCUUCAGAACUAUGAAAUCUCUCAAGAUCACCAUUACUGCUCAAGGUCCAUCCCAAACUCACUGUUUUCCUGCUCCAUCGCUGUUAAGUCCCAGUAAAAAGAGAAUGUGUCAGAUUUUGUUUUCAUUUGAUGCAGGGCUUUUCCUUCCUUUUUCUGUCUACGCUGUAUUAUUGUUGGUACUGUAAGUAAUACACUUAAUUCCUACAUCGUCAUUUUCUCUUUCACUAUAAUGAACUGAAAACAAUACUGAAAAGUAAGCACUGUACAGUAUUGUAUUCCCUUAACUAGUAACCAGUGAAGUUUGCCUCUCUGUAGUUACGCUGCAAAUAUUACCAAAGCCUUCGAGAUCACUGACAAGUUAUGGAUGUAUCAAAGUAAGCAGUAUAGCCUGGGGAGCUGAUGGUUUAGUCUGGAUGUACUAUGAAACCUACAAAAAUUGGGAAUGGUGCAACGAAUAAGCAUCUCGUUCUUAUUUUUCUGAUUUGAAGUUAUCGGCAUAUAAUGUUGCUUUACUGCGAUAUGAAUAUUCUCUUUGUUAUAUCCUGAGUGUCAGGAUGCAAAGCCCUUCCUGCUCCAGAGGUGAAACAAGAGGCUUAGCCCAAUGCUCAGACAUGCCCAGCCAGAUGCCAGCUCGUAGUUAAUGCAAGCAUACGGCAACUAUUUCCUUAAAUUACAUUAUGCAAAUUUAGUCUGGGAAGUAACGUCAUUAAAUUUACUUUAGUUUUUAACUGUGUUGUACAGGCUUAUUGGUUCAACUGCCCCUUCUCACAUAUAAAUAACAAAUUGGAUGGUGGGAAUAGAGCAAAACUACUUCUCUGCAAUUUUAUAACAAUAAUAAUUUUCAGCUUAAUAUCAAAUUCAUGCAAUAUCAUAUUAAAGCCUUCCAGCCUAUUUCUUCCACAUUAAGUGAAGCUUAUUAGUAAGAUUUUUUAUGCAAAGAUUUAACAGUUCCUAUUACUUUAUAAGAAGAAUGGGCUUGAGUUCCUUAUGAAGUCCAAUACUGUGUUUCUUUUCCUUUGUUAGUUAGUUUGGAAAGUUGAUAGAUUAGCUCAAUAAAACUCAGGAAAUUAUUUUUAGUACCAGUAAAAAAAUGAUAAUGGAAAGCGCUCAGUGCCGCUGGCAGAUAUUGCAUUUGAGCAUCAGCUGAUAAUGAUUUGGCUGGAAAUGAAAGACUCGAGGACAUUAUAACUUCGUUUGAUACAGACAAUUUGUUUGUCAGAAAUAAACACCAAUCUCUGAAAAACAUACAGCAUUUUUUCUCACAAAUGCUGUAAUUUAAACUACAGCCUUACAGCUCCUAUGCAGCCAAAGCAGUCAACUCGUCCCUUGCUUGAUGUAAUUACUACACUAACAAAUAGUCAUAUGACUGGCUGGUUCUGGGUCCAAAAACAGCGGGUGGAUUUUUGCUUGCAAUAACAGCAUAAUAAGCCUGAAAGGCAGUGUGUAAUUUUUCCUAAAUAAUAUUACUUACUUGAAUCAUUUAAGCAGUUAAUGGGGAUUAAGUUCAACUAAACAUCAUGUAUACUGUAAUUGCUGUCUGCAUCUGAAAGAUUCACAAGAAGAGGGAGGAGGUAAAGAGAAAGGAAAUACAAACGGAUGGGUUGGUUGUCUUCAGACUCAUGGCUUCAAUGUUUGCUCAACAGAUGAAAAGUAAAACAAAACCCCGAGCUCAGAUUCCACUGAAAACCAAGCAAGCAAUAACUAAGCUUUCUGUUUAGAUUUCAUCAUAAUUCACAUACACGUCUGCAAUGUAGCAACAGCUCCACAAAUAAACAGCAUUUCCAGCACUACGUUGUCUCUGGUCUUUACUCAUGUCAAAUACCAGGUGACCAAAAACCAGGGCUUUCUGCUCUAUAUGCUUCAUUCUCUUUAUCUUUGGAUUUCUGGUGUACUUUUGGGCACUAGGGAUGUGUAAGAAGGUGUCAA
rnacentral:lncRNA from 1 species